GAUGAACGCUGGCGGCGUGCCUAAUACAUGCAAGUCGAGCGAACAGACGAGGAGCUUGCUCCUUUGACGUUAGCGGCGGACGGGUGAGUAACACGUAGGUAACCUACCUAUAAGACUGGGAUAACUUCGGGAAACCGGAGCUAAUACCGGAUAAUAUUUCGAACCGCAUGGUUCGAUAGUGAAAGAUGGCUUUGCUAUCACUUAUAGAUGGACCUGCGCCGUAUUAGCUAGUUGGUAAGGUAACGGCUUACCAAGGCAACGAUACGUAGCCGACCUGAGAGGGUGAUCGGACACACUGGAACUGAGACACGGUCCAGACUCCUACGGGAGGAAGCAGUAGGGAAUCUUACGCAAUGCGCGAAAGCCUGACGGAGCAAAGCCGCGUGAGUGCUGAAGGUCUUCGGAUCGUAAAACGAUGUUAUUAGGGAAGAACAAACGUGUAAGUAACUGGGAACGUCUUGACGGUACCUAAUCAGAAAGCCACGGCUAACUCCGUG
rnacentral:rRNA from 1 species